AUUCCCCUAGUAACUGCGAGUGAAGCGGGAAAAGCUCAAAUUUGAAAUCUGGCAGUCUUUUUUUUCUUCUUUGGCUGUCCGAGUUGUAACCUAGAGAAGUGCUUACCUGCGCUGGACCAUGUAUAAGUCUCCUGGAAUGGAGCAUCACAGAGGGUGAGAAUCCUGUCUUUGACAUGGACUGCCAGUGUGUUGUGGGUGUGCUCUCAAAGAGUCGAGUUGUUUGGGAAUGCAGCUCUAAAUGGGUGGUAAACUCCAUCUAAAGCUAAAUACUGGCGAGAGACCGAUAGUGAACAAGUACCGUGAGGGAAAGAUGAAAAGGACUUUGGAAAGAGAGUUAAACAGUAUGUGAAAUUGUUGAAAGGGAAACGCUUGAAGUCAGUUAUGUUGGCUAGGGAUCAACCUAGCUAUUUUUCUGGGGUGAUUUUCCUAGUCUGACAGGCCACCAUCAGCCUUGGCUGCUGGGAAAAGACCAAGAGCAGAGGAAUGUGGCACCUUUGGGUGUGUUAUAGCCCUUUUGUCAUAUGUGGCAGUUGGGACUGAGGGAUGCAGCGUGCCGCGAGGCUGGGUUUUUUUUGACCACGUUCACGCUUAGGAUGUUGGCUUUUAAUGGCUUCAAUCGACCCGUCUUGAAACACGGACCAAGGAGUCUAACAUGCCUGCGAGUGUUUGGGUGGGGAAAACCCUUGUGCACAAUGAAAGUGAAAGUUGAGAUCCCUGUCAUGGGGAGCAUCGACGCCUGGACCUGAGCUUUUAGCAAUGGAUCCACGGUAGAGCAUGCAUGUUGGGACCCGAAAGAUGGUGAACUAUGCCUGAAUAGGGCAAAGCCAGAGGAAACUCUGGUGGAGGCUCGUAGCGAUUCUGACGUGCAAAUCGAUCGUCAAAUUUGGGUAUAGGGGCGAAAGACUAAUCGAACCAUCUAGUAGCUGGUUCCUGCCGAAGUUUCCCUCAGGAUAGCAGAAGCUCAUUAUCAGAUUUAUGUGGUAAAGCGAAUGAUUAGAGGCCUUGGGGUUGAAACAACCU
rnacentral:rRNA from 1 species